rnacentral:rRNA from 1 species
CCUACGGGAGGCUGCAGUGGGGAAUAUUGGACAAUGGGGGGAACCCUGAUCCAGCCAUGCCGCGUGUGUGAAGAAGGCCCUCGGGUUGUAAAGCACUUUCAGUGAGGAAGAACGCCUGGUGGUUAAUACCCAUCAGGAAAGACAUCACUCACAGAAGAAGCACCGGCUAACUCCGUGCCAGCAGCCGCGGUAAUACGGAGGGUGCGAGCGUUAAUCGGAAUUACUGGGCGUAAAGCGCGCGUAGGUGGCUUGAUAAGCCGGUUGUGAAAGCCCCGGGCUCAACCUGGGAACGGCAUCCGGAACUGUCAAGCUAGAGUGCAGGAGAGGAAGGUAGAAUUCCCGGUGUAGCGGUGAAAUGCGUAGAGAUCGGGAGGAAGACCAGUGGCGAAGGCGGCCUUCUGGACUGACACUGACACUGAGGUGCGAAAGCGUGGGUAGCAAACAGGAUUAGAUACCCUAGUAGUC